rnacentral:miRNA from 1 species
UGAGGUAGUUUGUAAUGCUGUCG